UUUUUUUUUUUUUUUUUUUUUUUUGAGACAGAGUCUUACUCUGUUGCCUGGGUUGGAGCGCAGUGGCAUGGUCUCAGCUUACUGCAACCUCCACCUCCUGGGUUUUCAAGCAAUUCUCAUGCCUCAGCCUCCCAAGUAGCUGGGAUUACAGGCAUGUGCCACCACACCUCGCUAACUUUUUUUAUUUUCAGUAGAGUCAGGGUUUUACCAUGUUGGCUAGGCUGGUCUCGAACUCCUGACCUCAGGUGAUCCACCCACCUUGGCCUCCCAAAGUGCUGGGGAAGUACAGGCAUGAGCCACGGCGCCCAGCUGGAAGGUCUUAACACUACAUCCCCUUUUAUCACCCAGGUUGUUGCGCAGAUUAAACGAAUUAAUGAAGUAUGGAAGAGCUGCAAAACAAAAAGCCUCUGUAAAAUAUGACAGAAAUAUCAUGAUAUGAGUAAGCUCCUAGCCUGUGUAGGUGUGAAGCCGCCUCGUUUUCCAGAGGUCACAGGCUCCCCAUUUUACUUAUGGUCUUUUCUUGUGCUUCCAAAGAGUGUGUGAAUUCAGUGGCUGUGGUGAGCUUUUUUUCUAGGCUCUAGCUGAGCCUUGGAUGAGUUUUAUCAUGCUAAGGGUCAACAUAUCCCCAGACAGAAUCGUAUUUUAAUUCAACAGCAUUCAGUAGUUAUUAAACUAUGAUAAAUGCUAAAGUGGGAAAGAUUACACUUAGACGUAAGAAGUGUCACUUGAAUCACUUAAAAAUAUUAUAAUGUAUGGCUAAUUGCACCUUGACUAUAUUAUCCAGUGCUGUGAAAACACUUCAGAUCCUUAAGUAAGGUACCAUUUAAAUACCUAUUUCAGUCUGUAAUGGGUAAUAUUCUUCAGUGCAAAGGUUGUUAACGGACCCAAUAUUCAUUGAGUAUCUAUUAUGUGCUAGGCACUUUGUCCACAUUAAUUCAUUUAAUUCUUGAAACAAUUAACUCAUGGAGGCAAUUAUUACCAGCCCCAUUUUACUGGUAAGGAAAUUGAAAUUCAGAGAUGUCAAGUGACUUGCCUAAGGUCACACAGCUGAUAAAUGGCAGAGCUGAGAUUGGAAUCUGGGAAAACCAUCUCCAGAAUCCACUGUCACAGACAGAUACAAUGUGACCUCUGUGACUUCUCUGCCUUGGUGUCCUCACCUAUAGUAUGGUGACAGUAAUUAUAUUAGGUUUCUGUGAGGACUGAGAUGAAUAAGAAAAGCUCAGAACACAGUGCUCGAUAAAUGAAAGCAUUGUUCUCUAUUGUCGUUGUCUCCUGAAAUGCCAUUCUAGCACACUUAAGCUAACAACUCCAGGGCUGGGGUUCGAUUUGGAGAGAAAUACUUUCUACUCGCCAGCAUGGAUUUAGUAGGGUUGAAACAACACAGUGCACAGGUCUAGGCAGCAGAACUGGCUACAUAAUUUCCAUGGUCCAUUGCAAAGUAAAAUGUGGUGUCCUUGUCAAAAAACAUUAAGGACUUCAAGAUGGUGACAGCAGAGCAUUGAACCGAGCACUGGGUUUCUAAGCACCAGAAUCUCUGCAAAUGCACAAAUCGAAUGCCGAUGAAGCCAGCACCUGUGGUGGGAAUCGAGGCUGCCUUAGCUACAAUCUGUGGUCUUGGGGAAUGCAGUGGAACUUUCUGAGCCUCUCUGAUUGCUCAUCAGUAAAAUGAAGACCAUUCCUGCCUCACAGGUUAUAGGAAGAAACAAACAAGCUGUUGGAUGAAAAAAUCCGGCUCCACCACAAAACAGCAGGCCAGCGGUUCUCAAUCCUAACUAUGCACCAGGACCACC
ensembl:lncRNA